rnacentral:rRNA from 1 species
UACAGAGGGGGCAAGCGUUGUUCGGAAUUACUGGGCGUAAAGGGCGCGUAGGCGGCCUUCUAAGUCGAACGUGAAAUCCCCGGGCUCAACCCGGGAACUGCGUCCGAUACUGGAAGGCUUGAAUCCGGGAGAGGGAUGCGGAAUUCCAGGUGUAGCGGUGAAAUGCGUAGAUAUCUGGAGGAACACCGGUGGCGAAGGCGGCAUCCUGGACCGAUAUUGACGCUGAGGAGCGAAAGCCAGGGGAGCAAACGGG